rnacentral:lncRNA from 1 species
UAACAGUGACUGUGGACUCAGCCUCCUUCUCACUUCCAGCCCUAACAUCACCUCAAAGGGCAUUUUGUCUUCAUAGCUACCACAUGGCUGUCAGGUUUUCUGCCAUCUCCAGGCUUCUGCCAUCAUAACAUGCAGUAAAAAGAGAAGAGGAGAAACAUGAAGGUGUACAGUAGCUGACAAUGUUUUUCUCAAGAAGAAAUAGCCUACUAGUGACUCCACCGUGUUAACUUGCACUGACAUCGCACUGGCCAAAACUGCAUCACAUAAUUAUUCCCAGCCUUAAGCAAGUCCAGAAGGAGUUUAAACUCUUCCUCCUUUGCUGCUGUCUGUGUGCAUUUUUACCAAAGGUGGAGAGAAUUUAUUCUCUUAACGAAGAGAGAAAUGGAAGCUUGCCCUCAUAACCUUUGUUGUAACAGAAUACUAGACCUUGAAGAAAAGAGAAAUUGUAAAGAAACAUUGCAAAUGAAGCGUUGGUCAACUGUGGCUCAUGAGAAGAAAACCAUGCUGGUCAAAGAUUUUAAGAAUUUUUGCCGUUUUGGCUGUAACCCCCACCCCAAAACACACACCCAAAUCAAGAGAUUUCCACAUGAAAUGUAUCACCCCAUGCAGUGGCAUAAAUGUGGUGGGUGAGAAGGGAACAUCUCUUUUUCUUGACUGUGCAUGUUUUAUAAUAAAAAUACUAGAUUGC